UAUACUGACGAAUUAUUUGUAUUCAAGUUCCAUUAUAUUCCCCGUUUUUGAUAUUCGGUUGAAUAUUACUAGAUAAUUAGGACCCUCAGCUCUCAACUCAUAAAUCUAUCCGAUUGUUAAAUCAAUUUCCUACAAGACUGGUCAAUUGGAAGCUCUCGUCUUUAUUGGUUUGUUUCUAAAAUAAGUUCUAAGCAAAAGCGGUUCAACAAAAAUUUCCACUUAAUUAAUUUCUUUACAUGGUAAAGUUUAUGGGGGCGACAGUCUUAGCGCCGUUAUCCACUUUUUGACAUUGAUUUUUAAGGCAAACGAUCAGUAAUUCAAUGCUUUUCUAUUCGAUGUGGCCUAGGACAUGGCUUUAAAUAGCAAUUCUACACGAUUUCUACCUUGGUGCAUUGGACAAGAGGAUGGGCGCCGUAUAAUUGUCUACUACCAGAAGCCGCUGUUAUGCCAAUGCAGCCCCUCAGAGCCGAAGUCUUGGACAUUUUGUUGGCAUAGUUGAAGAUUGCUGAAGGAAUCUUUCAGACUUGGCGAAGAUCACAUCGUUCAAUUCCAUGUCCUGCAGGCACGUCGACUACACCAGGAUCUUGACAGCUGAGGAAUGAGAAGACCGCACUCGUCUAGCUCAGCAAAGUUCUGGGACAGACGGGUGAGCAGGCAUUGUUUUAUUAUAUGACUGUGACUAUAUUUUCUUCCUCAAGAAUUUAGUAGAAGGUUUAAGAUAACUAUUUUUUUACUCCAAAGAUGAGACACUUUGUUGACUCAAUCAGCUCCUACAUUAUCUGGUGAUUCAAGACAAGUUUAUUUUAUAAAU